rnacentral:lncRNA from 1 species
CCCGGCUAAAGGUGGGAUAUCUCAAAGUGGGGUGGGGAGUGUGUUCCAGGUGUAUUCAGAUUCUCUUUAACUUGUAAUUGGUUAAAGGAGUCAGGCUCUAAAACUCGGAACCACCAAAAAGGAAGGUGUAAGGUCACGUAAGGACGCUGUGUCAGAGUCCGCCCCCUCCACUGGGUCACAGUGACCCAUGUAGCAGGAGGGCGAGAAGCAGGCGUGACCUAACCUCUGCCCGGCAGGGCCUUAGGCCUCCUUUAUAAUUUGGUAUCUUAUUGCCAGAGUCUCUUUGUCAGUCUUGCGAUCUGUACUUUAACAUGAAUGCCGGGUGGUCGUUAAGCCUCAACUCCAGAAGGGAGGGGUACAAGGAGGCUGCCCGACUCCCUUCCCAUCAUGCUUGGGAACUCUGUUUUAAGGUUUUCUUUGGGGUCCCCUUGGCCAAAUGGGGGUCCUUUCAGUUGGUGUGGGACUUAGGAUUUUAUUUUUAGUUAUUCAAUGAAAUAUCAUUCAGCCCUAAAAGGGAGUAACAUUCUGACACGUGCUACAAUGUGGAUGAACCCCGAGAACACUUUGCCGGCCGGACGGGCGCGGCAGCUCACAUCCGAUGGGCGCGGCAGCUCACAUCUGUAAUUCCAGCACUUUGGGAGGCCCAGGAGAGUGGAUCACUUGAGGUCAGGAGUUCGAGACCAGCCUGGCCAAUGUGGUGAAACCCCAUCUCUACUAAAAAUACAAAAAUUAACCAGACACAGUGGCUCAUGCCUGUAGUCCCAGCUACUCAGGAGGCUGAGGCAGGAGAAUCGCUUGAACCCAGGAGGUGAAGGUUGCAGUGAGUUGAGAUCACGCCAUUGCACUCCAGCCUGGGCAACAGAGCGAGAUUUUCUAAAAAAAAAAAAAAAAAAAAUUGCGGGGGUGAGGGGUGCAAACGUAUGAGCCUGUUUAUUUGAAACAUUCAGAACAGGUGAAGACACAGACGGAAAGAAAACAGCAGCGACCGGGAGCCAGAGCAGUGGAGAAUUAUUGUUUAAUGGGGACAGUGUCUGUGUGAGGUGAGAAAUUUCUAGAAAUGGGUAGCGGUGAUGGUUAUACAGCAUUCUGAAUGUACAUAAUGCCACUGAAUUACGCACUUAAAAGCGACGAAAGCCGGGCGUGGUGGCUCAGGCCUGUAAUCCCAGCACUCUGGAAGGCCGAGUCAGGUGGAUCACUUGUGGUCAGGAGUUUGAGACCAGCCUGGCCAACAUGGCGAAACCCCGUCUCUGUCAAAAAUACAAAAAUUAGCUGGAAACCGCUUGAACCCAGGAGGUGGAGGUUGCAGUGAGCCGAGAUCAUGCCACUUCACUCCAGCCUGGGUGACAGAGGGAGACUCCAUCUCGGGGGAAAAAAAAAAAAGAAAAAGUGGAGAUGGGGAGGAAACCAAAAAAGGGAACGGAGCAAGAUCCCCGAGGCCCUGGGACCAAACUACACUGCAAAGCAUUGGUAAAUCUGACUUCAUCUGAAAGAAGGGGAUUUCUACUGAAUGAACCAACUGGCAGCUGAGAGGCAGAUGUCAAACAAACACACAGAAGACAUUUCCCAGCACCUGAAAGAGUCCACGGCACAGCGAGCAGCAGGGACGUCCAAAACCAGAGAAACAGCCAACGUGGGGGAAAAGCAGGGGCCGAGGGAGAGGGAGAAAAGCAGGGGCCGAGGGAGAAGCCACCAGCUCAGGGGAGCGACUGGGUGACUGGUUCACCAGGAGGGGUUUGAGGUCUGACCUUUGUACAUCCAUUGAAAUUCAAAUUAGAACAAGGAGCUUUGCGUGAGCAGAAGGAAGGGCUGCGGUGAGAGGGACGCUGGAACCUGGAGGGAACAGGCCUGGAGAGAAGAGGCUGCCCUGGUUCCCACCGCCCCUGCGCGAUCUCGCAGCCCGUGGGUGGCUUUCCUUCUGGUCUCCUCUGCGCCUCGUUUGGCUACGCUCACAGGCGCCUCGCUUCCGUGCUCACCUUACCCCUCCCUACACCCACCCCACUCCACGCUAUUGUUGGCCUUUUCACACUUUGAAUGAAUAAAAUAACUUUGGUGUUGUUUGUUCUACAUAUUUAAAAAAAAAAUACCUCUUCUCUUUGGUUUUCACAUGGCCAAAUCGUCAGGGUACUGGCCGUCGCGUUUAAGAAGUUGAGUAAAUAGAGAUGUCCGGCUUUGCUAGCUCAGCCUCUGGUGUGGACGCAUUGAACGUUAAUCCGAUAAUCCACAGAGGAUCCCUCAGCAGGACCCACUCGCAGAGAGCAGUAGCCAUGCUCUGAGCUCAGAGGCUGGCUUCUGCUCCCAUCGCUCUAAAUUCCAUCCCCCAUGAGGUCAAAACAGAAAAGAGGACCGAGCCCCUAGCCUGGAGCAGACGCAUCACUGGGUCUCCGCCCCGGUCACCUCUUCCAGGAAGUCUUCCCUGGUUGGCCCAGGCUUCCCGACUCUGGGAGGUCAGCGCCUCUCGCUCGGCCACUGUUUCCUCCACCCGCCAGGCCAGAGCAGGAUGUCCUGUGCAGUCAGGGCUGUGGGAGGUGGCCUUCUAUCCCCGUUUUACAGAGGAGAGAAAUGAGGUGCCGAGAGUUCAAAUGAGGGGCCAGGUCCCUCACGGGAACCAGGUCUUCAACACAGGAGCAUGGGCACAGCUCAGGGGCCAGGCACUAUGGAGUGGUCCCGGCUUGGCUGAUGGUGGAGUGGGCGGUUCCGGAAGCUGAGAUUCCAAUUCUGCAAAACAGACAUCGGUGCAUGGAGCAGUACUUGGUCCGGGGGCUGUGAUGCUGGCACACAGCCGGCCCAGACAGGGGCACCACGAUGGUUAUGAUGGAGGAAGCUCUGCCUUUUCCAGGCCUCCACCCUCAUAAAACACGACCAGAGUGACUCCAUCUCAUAGUCCCUAGCUUGGCACUCACAAGGCAAGUAUAAAGUUCAUGCUUAGGGGCUGAAAACAGCUAUGUCCCAAGCUGACCACCAACUAUGACUGCAAAAUAGUUAUGCAAAUAGCUGCAAAAUAGUUAUGGCCAUACAGGACAUUUCCCAGCAGGCCUGAGAAUGUCCAGACCUCCGGAGAGUGCAGCCCACUUCACUGAGAAAGCGCCAGUGAGCAGGCUGAGGCUGAAGGUGAUUGGUCACCGGGAACACCAGCAGCCCCAACCUUCGGUGAGCACAGCUGCACAUUCAGGUCUACGUGUAGAGAUUCCUUGUAGUUUCUUAUAAGCAGAAACACUAACAAAGGACAGCGAGUUCUUCCUGCUCUCUGAGCACGUCCGCUUUGUAAUAGAAUCAUUCGUUGUUUUUUUUUUUGAGACGGAGUCUCGCUCUGUCGCCCAGGCUGGAGUGCAGUGGCGCGAUCUUGGCUCACUACAAGCUCUGCCUCCCGGGUUCACACCAUUCUCCUGCCUCAGCCUCCCGAGUAGCUGGGACCACAGGCCCCGGUCACCAUGCCCAGCUAAUUU